AUACGGAGGGUGCAAGCGUUGUUCGGAAUUAUUGGGCGUAAAGCGCGUGUAGGCGGCUUGGUAAGUCAGGUGUGAAAGCCCUUAGCUCAACUAAGGAAAGUCAUCUGAAACUGCCAGGCUUGAGUACGGGAGAGGAGAGUGGAAUUCCCGGUGUAGAGGUGAAAUUCGUAGAUAUCGGGAGGAACACCCGUGGCGAAGGCGACUCUCUGGACCGAUACUGACGCUGAGACGCGAAAGCGUGGGGAGCAAACAGGAUUAGAAACCCCGGUAGUCC
rnacentral:rRNA from 1 species